UGGUCUACAAAGUGAAUUCUAGGAUAGCCAAGGCUACAAAGAGAAACUCUGUUCCAGAAAGCAAAACCAAAAGCCAAAUGAACCAAAAAACAAAAUCCGUAAAAGUCAGUGAUAAGUCUGAAAGAAGCUUAUGUGCUUCUAUGCAUGCUUACUUGUGUAACUCUGAUCCUGGUGUCUAAUAACUGCCAUUAAUACCUUAAGUUGGUCAAGUUCAGAAGUGUCUAAAUUUAAUUUCUAAUUCACUCAGAAAGUAUGUGUUUAGUAUAUUCUCUAAAUAGAAUUUCAAAUGUGAGAAAAAUAUAAUUUAUAUAUUGAAGGGGUGUGUAGUGUGGAUGUGUAUAAACAAAUGUCGUGGGUGACAUUAUUAGAACAUACAACUUACUGCUAGAGCUGGAGAGAUGUCUCAGAGGUUAAGGACACUUACUGCUCUUGCAGAGGACUGGAGUUCAGCACCCACAUCAGCCAGGUCACGACCCAUGGUAACUCCAGUUCCAGGACAUCCAGCAUCCUUUGGCCUCCAGAGGCACCCAUAUCCAUGUGAUAACAUACACUCACCCAGGCACACACAUACACAUACAUAAAUUUUAUACGUGUGUGUGUGUAUAAUAUGUGUGUGUGUGUGUGUGUGUGUGUGUGUAUAUGAAAGACUUGUCAAGCAUGGUAGCUGUAGGAAGAACAUUUAGUUCUGAUAUCACUUUGGGCUAGUUUAAAGAAACCAAUAAGUAUUUUUCCCCUGUGUAUGAGUGACAAUUUAAGAAGGCUGGAGAGAUGGCUCAGCGGAUAAGAGCACUGACUGCUCUUCAGAAAGUCCUGAGUUCAAUUCCCAGCAACCACAUGGUGGCUACAGCUACAGUGUACUAAUAAAUAAAU
rnacentral:lncRNA from 1 species